UGGAAUAUUGGGCAAACCUGUUGAAAGGCAGGGACGCAAAGCUAAAGGGCCUAAGGUAAUACUAUGGCAGCCAGUUGCAUAA
rnacentral:ncRNA from 1 species